UACGUAGGGUGCGAGCGUUGUCCGGAAUUAUUGGGCGUAAAGAGCUCGUAGGCGGUCUGUCGCGUCGAUCGUGAAAACUUGGGGCUUAACCCUGAGCUUGCGGUCGAUACGGGCAUGACUGGAGUUCGGCAGGGGAGACUGGAAUUCCUGGUGUAGCGGUGAAAUGCGCAGAUAUCAGGAGGAACACCGGUGGCGAAGGCGGAUCUCUGGGCCACUACUGACGCUGAGAAGCGAAAGCAUGGGGAGCGAACAGG
rnacentral:rRNA from 1 species